AUGGACUUGGAAAACUACCUCAGGCAUUUGCUCGUUUGAGUGCCGCCUAUGGUGGAACUUACAUGCUCAACAAGCCAGAAUGCAAGAUUGGUUUCUGAUGACGUUUGGAAGCAUACUUGCAAUUGAAGAUCAACUGUUGAACUUAGUUCUAGUUGCAAAUCAAGAUUGAGUGUUUUUUUUUUUCUUCGGACUCA